rnacentral:tRNA from 1 species
GGGGCGUUAGCUUAGCUGGUAAAGCGCCUGUGUCGCACACAGGAGACCAUCGGUUCGAAUCCGAUACGCUCCACCA